GGGCUGGAGACCAAGCCAGCACUGAUAUUCUAUACAUAUGCAAUUUUUGAUGAGUAAACCCAACGUGACUCCUUUGUUCCAGGAGAGAGAAGCUUUUCCCACAGGGAGAGACAUUACCAGGGCAGGAGCAGCAGAAUAACUCCUAACAACUCAUGGUAGAUGAGACGUUAGCUCCAACAUCUGAACAAAAAUAAUACUACAUAAGGUAGAAAAGCCAAGAAGUCGUGAGCUAGGAGCACAGCUGAUUCCCAAACUGUGACUGCCACAAGCAAAUGACAUCCACAGAAGCUGUUGAAGGACAGACUCUGAUUCUCACUCCUGGGCUGCUCUCUCCAGCACAGCAGAUGUGAGGCUGUGAUCUCCCAGGGAUGUUUUCCCCCUUCCCUGGGCCCAGACCCUGCUGAUGAGGAGAAGCAGAGCACAGACUCAGCCUGAGGUAGCUCUGCCAGCCCAGCUGAGACACCUUUGCCCCUUGUGCAAUUGUUUUGCUAGAAAAGGAAGCAGGUUUCACUGCCUCCAGUUGUUCAGCCUCGUCCUCCUCCUCAAACUCCCCUGGCAGGUCCAGCAGGCUGAAAUCCACCCACACAGAUGGUUGAGCUGCUUUGGUGAAGUUCUCCUUCCAGCUGGACUGACCUUGUUAUCUUUGCUGUGGGCUCCACGUGCUGCUGGACUCUCCUCAAUUUGCUGAUGAUCCUUUUUGCACCACAGAGGGCAAGAACAGGGAAGGGACUUGGCAAAGAGCAGGGAAGGCAGAGGAUGCCCAUGAACUGGAGCUACCUGUGGCAGCAGCCCUGUCUGAGCCUGGCCCUGGUGGAAGGGGAAUGCUGGCAAGGACACCAGAACACACCUGGGGUUCAGAGCCAUGGGUAAGGAGCUUGGUCCUUGUUAACAAAACAGCCUGGAGGGGAAAUUUAGGUGAGAAAGGCAAAUGGAGAGAGCAGAGAGAACACAGAAGGAUCUACCAGAGCUGUGAAGACAGAAAGUGCAGAAAUACUUCCUCCUGCAAAGCUGCUCCAUCAAGACUCCCAUCCAUGGACACAGCUGGAGGAACAGUGGCACUUGUGUGCCAGGACAGGCUUCUCACUGCUGUACAAGAGAGAACAUAGAGCAGCACCUGUGUGUCACCCACCACAAGUGGAAUAAAGGCUGGAGACCCUGCAGAGCCCUGUGUGCUCUGCCUCCAGAGAGACUCAGAGCAGCCAGGUCCAGGCUGUGGCACUGCCCUGCCCCACAGAGCCCUGCUGCUGGGCACCUCCAAACACACCUCCUGAGACAGCCCCAGCCUCAGGAGAGCUCAAAUAGCAUUUAGAGCAGACAGAAACACCUUUAAUGCACCUACAGGCAAAACUGGGGAUGUUCUCUACCCUCAAAAGGCUGAAUUAUACUGAAAAUAUAAAAAAGUAAUUAAAUAACUAAGAAAAAAUUA